ACCACGCUGAAGAACUGGCCUGAUGGGGAAACUAGCCUGACUGACUGGGAUUGCCCCACCCUGCCCUGGAGGAAACUGCUGUCUCCCUGACAGAAACCACUGUGGAAUGGCAGCCACCUUCAAAUGCCACACGUUUUUGUGACCUCCUACACCAACAAAAUGCCAAGCUUCCAAAAGAGCCCGUUUCCUCACCUUGCUCACUUCUAAAUCAAAGGCUCAUAGGGAUACAUCUGAUUAAGGGGGAUGGGAGUCCCAUGCCUGAGUCCUGGCUGCAAAGGAGACUGAGAUUGGGGGGGUCUGAACUCCUUCCUUGGGAAGGCAAAUAUCCCCAAAUGUUAAAAAAAAAAAAAAAAAAGGCCAUUCAAAAGAUGGCAGGAAGCCAUGAGUCUGACAGGCAUACAGCACAAGGGACACAGGUCAGAUCUGAAAUGUGAAUCUAUCACCUGUCGCGUGUAGGGGCUAUAUUAGAUCAGGGUUCCUCAACCUUGGCACUGUUGACACUUGGGCUUCAUGAGUGUUAGUUGUGGAGGACUAUCCUAUGCCUUGUAGGAUGUUUAGCAGCAUCCCUAGUCUAUCCACAAAAUGCUGCUAGAAACCUCUCCCCCAAUUGUAAAAACCAAGGAUGUGCUCAAACUUGGACACAUAUUCCCUAGAGGGUGAAACUGCCUUGAAAACCACUGGAUUGGGGACCAGCUUAGUUUGGAGGCUCUUUUGGUAACAGAAGAAAGGAAUUAGUGGGAUGACGGUAUAACCAUCAGCAUGGCAGAAGUAAUCCAACCACAGGGGUUUAGAAGGGUCCUGGAAGAGAACCAGAACAUCCUCAAGGCACCACCAAGAUUUAAGGAUGUCACUUUAAUGUCUGCAAGCAACAGUUACUGCAACUUUCAAAGAGUUCAGAAAUUUGCAGUUCUUUUUUUUUAAUGGACGAUUUUAUAGAAUACUAAAAGGGACAAUAUCACUUU